CGUUCUAUGGCCAAAUUGGUAAAGGCAUCGCCAACUGCAGGCGAGGAUGCGGGUUCGAGUCCUGCUGAAAUGG
rnacentral:tRNA from 1 species